rnacentral:lncRNA from 1 species
CCGCCGCAGGUCGCGGCCUCCCCGGGCUGCAGGUCGCGAACUCGACCUCGUCGCUACACAUAGCGAACCGUGGCCUCUGCCGCGUGUGGUCGUCCCCGUCCUGUUUCAAGCCCGUUUUCGGCCGCCCAUAGACUGAUUGAACUGACAAGCUUGAUCCCCUUCGACAGUAGCAGCUUCACCCCAGCGCGCCACCCACCGCGAUGCCGCCCCAGGCCGUUCACAACGGCCACUGCAGUCUGUUCACCACCGCCACCCGAGGCCGUUCAACAAUGCAUCGGUCAGAAAGCUUUCCUCUCAUUUUCUUCAGCCUCUGUUAAUUUUUUGGGGGGGACUGAGGGAGUGCAAUUCACCGAGGCAUUCCAUGUGUUGAUGGGUAUGCUUGCUUAGCAUAAGUUCAUAAAACUGUCAUUUUUGUUUGAAUUGAACUGAUGCUACUCUUGAUCCAGACCUGAGGGAAGAAGACAAAACUAAUUGAUUCAGUUCAUCAUUGGCAUCCUUCUUGAAAAUAGUUCUAAAGAAGUGAAGAUAGCUUCCAUAGAGUAAUUACGGUGAUAUUUCUCUAAAACUUUUUUUGCAAAUAGCUUUUUCAUGUGUGUGUAAGAAAGUGAGAAGGAGAGCAAUGGACAGUAGUAGAUGCAAAUGAACCUUGUUCCCAGCUUUUAGAGACUGAUGCAUGAUGCAGCAGAGAUGGCAUAGCUGUUUUGGCAUGGCAUGGGGUCUAGCAAUGCAACAACUUGUAGCUGCAUGCCUCUGAAUGUUGCUAAUGGGAGCCUCCUAAUUCUGUGAAUGUGUGUGUGUCAUGGCAUCUUGUCUCUGUGUUGCAUCAUCCAGGAUCCUAAACGUGGAAAAGAUCCCUGUAGAUCUCCAUAGUUUCUCAAUUUUAUUUUAUUUUGAUCCGUCCAGGAAGCAACCACCAACCCGACGUGCCCUCCGUUCACCGCUGCCACCCCAGAUCGUUCAACUACACAGUGCCAAGCCGUUCGAUGCCGCAGCUCGAGAGGUGCCCAUCUCAACCUUUCCACAUCUCCCCCUGGAUGUUCAUGCUCCUCUGGUAUAUAUUCAGUUCAUAUUGUAGUUAUGGUCAUUCUAUUAUGAUUUUCAGCUCAUCCUGUGUGAUUUCUUUCUUCAGUCCCAAGUGGCAAAUUUGUUCUUCAGCAUAUGGUAUCAUUGAGCUGCACUUGUUUGUACUGUCCCUCUUCCCCUGCUCCUCAAGCGCCACUACUGUCUUGUGCUUGUUGUUCGAUAGGUAUUUGUCUUAAUGCCUAGAGAAGAGAUUUGUUUUCUGUACUAAACUCAUUAUUAGUUUGGUUUGUAUUAUUUUGUCAGUUCAUGAAAAAACACAAGAUAGUUGGGUGUGUGCGCAAAAAUAUCAUCAAUACACGUUUCAAAAUUAUGUGAGUUUAGAUAUAUCACCUAAAAGAGUUCAAAGCAUAUGGUAACUUGGAGGUAGUUUUCAAAUACUAUAUUGUGACCAAAAAGCAAGGUAGCAAAUUACUAUAUAUACUACUUCAAAAAGCAUAUCAUUGCUCAACUUCUUCUGUGAACAUAUUCAGUGCAAGUUUUGCUUCUGAAAACUGACAUUCUUCAUCAUGUACUGAUCCGUUUAACCUGUGGAUGUGCUUAAAAAACUAAUGUUUGGCAUGUACUAAAAAUGCCUUGAAAACGAAGAGUAAAUAGCAUCAGUGAGUUCUAGUACCUAAAUUGUAGAAGUUCAUUGACAAAAAAAUAUCAGCAGAAGUAUCGUGUUAGUUCAUGUUUAGAUGUCGGGUAAGCUAAAAAAUUAGAUCUCGAGAAAUAAAAAAAACUGAACCACCGGGAAGGUUGUUGGAAACAAAUCCUCUGUUAGUUCACCAGAACUGAGACAUGGAGGUGGGGGCGUCCGGGUGCGUGCUCAGAACACUCAGUACUAGUGCUCAGAAACUGCUGAGUCCACACUCAGUACUAGUGCUAUGAUUUUAGGGUGGGGACUAACAGAGUAACAAACUUUCAUGUAUCAAUACUAGUGCUCAUCGGUACAACAAAGUAACAGUACUGAUCAGUACAACUUACAAAGUAGCUUCAAUCAUAAGUUCAAUUUCAUCUGUGUUUCCAUGUUAUUUGUGUAUAGUACAACGGGUAUUUGUAUUCUGUUCAUUUCAUCUACUUGUCGGUUGUCAGUCCAAUUACAUAAGCUUUUCCAUGUUGUAUUCGUGCAAGUUCAUCCACCGCUGCGACCACGUCUCCCCCUCACGAUUUCUCAUUGAUAUCGUUGUAUUCGUGCUUGUUUCGUGAUUUGCCUGAUGGAAGUUCUGCAACUGUCAGUCCAUAUGGAAGAAGGAGAUCCGUCCAAAGUUCUGCAACUGUCCGUCUAGAUGGAAGAAGGAGAUCCUUACUCAACAUAGGACUGAUUGUUCAAGUUCUUUCGUAUAGAAGGUUCAGAAAGUUUUGUUCUUGAAAAUGCAAUUAUUUGGAGUAUGCCAAUAUAUAUGUAUUUCUGAAUUUCGCUCUUGAGUAACAGUUCAACAUGUAUAACGCCAUCAAUUCAUACUGGAAAGGCAGCAAACAGUUUAAUACUUGUGUGUUAAAAACGUAAGAGAAACUUUCAUAGUGGUUUGAUGGAAUAAAUCGCAUUAGUUCUGACUUGGAUCCGUUCUUGCCUAUUAUGCAUUGAAAAAUCAAAUUUUUUUUUGCCUUCGUUAAGGCUGGAGAAGCAUGUAUCUCAUUUAUAAUAUGCUUUGUCAUUUGGUCGAUGAUAUUUAUUGCAUCCUUCAUCACUAAUCUUAAGGAGGAGAUUGAUUUGUGCAUUUCUAUAUUCGUUGUGUAAAUCUGUUGAUUUUUAAUGUUUUAGGGAUUUCGGGAGAGUGGAGACCUGGAAGAGCACUUUCAAGCGUUAUUGGCCAUGACAACAAAUGACCAAGAAGAGCACUUUCAAUAGUCCAGGAAGACAACGACAACAACAACAACGAGAAAAAUGCAAUGAUGCAUCAUGCUGACAUUGAUGAAAAGCUAUGAUUUUGUGCUCCUGUUUGUUAUUACGUCAAUGAGAAAUCGAUACUUCUUUUCUUUAGGUUUCAUGUUUUAAUUGGUGAGGGAUAAACAAAUUUUCCUAUUCAAGUGGAAGCUCCCAGUAUAUGAUGGAUGUGGGGGUUAUUUUUACAUUCA